GUUAGGAAUAUUGGACAAUGGGCGAAAGCCUGAUCCAGCCAUGCCGCGUGAACGAUGAAGGCCUUCGGGUUGUAAAGUUCUUUAGCCGAUGAUUAUAAUGACUGUAGUCGGAAAAUAAGCCCCGGCUAACUUCGUGCCAGCAGCCGCGGUAAUACGAAGGGGGCGAGCGUUAUUCGGAAUCACUGGGCGUAAAGCGUGCGUAGGCGGUUUUGUAAGUUAGGAGUGAAAGCCCAGGGCUCAACCUUGGAAUUGCUCUUAAAGCUGCAAGGCUCGAAUCUCGGAGAGGAUAGCGGAAUUUCCAGUGUAGCUGUGAAAUGCGUAGAUAUUGGAAGGAACACCAGUGGCGUAAGCGGCUAUCUGGACGAGUAUUGACGCUGAGGCACGAAAGCGUGGGGAUCAAACAGGAUUAGAUACCCUGGUAGUCC
rnacentral:rRNA from 1 species